CGGGAGAUUUUGAGGGUUGCGAAGGCAGACUUCCUAAAUAUCUUCGGGCAGUUCAUCUCAGGUGCCGAGGUGGACAAUAGUGACAAGACGAUGUACCGCUACUACUGCGAGGUGAUCAUGGUCUUCCGUCACUUUCAGCGUCCAGGAGCUGUGGAAGGCUUGACUGUGUCAGAGUGGGUGAACAGAAAGGCAUAUAAUGGCAGGCUUGUGGCUGGCACCAGCAAACACAAAACAUCGACCAUGCAGAUCGUUGCAUUUGCCUUGAUGCAGGAGGAGGAAUCUUGGUUUCAGGUGUACCAUGAGUCCAUUUGGCCUUGAUACAACAAUGGUACAUCUGACAAGUUUUUUGUUUCAUCCACUGGCGAACCUGUUCACAGUGUCUCACAAGACAUGCAUCGCCUCCAUGAAAUUUUUCUUACUGCAGCUACAAAAUUCAACCUGCCACCAGCCAGGAGGUGCGUAUAGCUGUGGAGACGAAGGUAGCAGAAAUGUUUACAGAGAGCCAACAGGAGGGCCUGCACCAUUAUCU